rnacentral:rRNA from 1 species
AUUGAACGCUGGCGGCAUGCCUUACACAUGCAAGUCGAACGGUAACGGGCCUUCGGGUGCCGACGAGUGGCGAACGGGUGAGUAAUGCAUCGGAGCGUACCUUUCAGUGGGGGAUAACGUAGCGAAAGUUACGCUAAUACCGCAUAUUCUGUGAGCAGGAAAGCAGGGGAUCGCAAGACCUUGCGCUGAUUGAGCGGCCGAUGUCAGAUUAGCUAGUUGGUGAGGUAAAGGGCUCACCAAGGCGACGAUCUGUAGCGGGUCUGAGAGGAUGAUCCGCCACACUGGAACUGAGACACGGUCCAGACUCCUACGGGAGGCAGCAGUGGGGAAUUUUGGACAAUGGGGGGCAACCCUGAUCCAGCCAUGCCGCGUGAGUGAAGAAGGCCUCGGUUGUAAG